UGACAUGUAAGACUAUCGAAAUAAUCUUAAUGUAUUUUCGCGAGUAAUAAGUGUCAAAGUUUUUCUUGGUUUUGACUUGUUGAUUCAAAAUACAAUUCUCACGUGAAACGGAAUAUUGGUUCACAAUCACGAACGUGUUUGCGUAAGUGCCGUACAAAGUGUCGCACGUUUAUUAUCAUCGCAUAAUGAAGUUUUUCAUAUUUUCACGAGGAAUACAACAAACUCUAUAAGUACAAUAAUUCUAAAAAUCUAAGAGGAGGAAAAAAUUUUUGGAAAUUUCGGGAGCUGAUGGAGCAUUCUUAAAAGAUCAACUAAUUUUAAUAACAUCAACUCUGCUGCUACGCAUCGAUCGCCGAUGCCGGCGUGAUGUGCCUCCCUUUGUCCGACCUUCAAGCACGAAGACGAGCAACGGGAAGGAACGAAAAGGCAUUGGCGGAAGGUAGUGUCGCACGAAGAUGCAAAAGUGGCAUAGCUUCGGCCUUGAGACAAGACGGGAAAAAUAUAGUCGCACAUUAGCACGAACUUCUCUUUCUCUCUCUCUUACAAGGCUUUUAAUAAGUAAUCUUCUAUUGUACAAGAUCCUCGACUGAAGAUAAAUCUGUUCUUCGAAAUAAGCAAUAAUAUACGUAAAUAUACAAAUUGUAAAUAUAAAAAUGACAUGAUAUUAAAUAUAAUUUACAUACCAUGCGUACUCGACGCACGCAUUCUUGCCCUUUAAUUGAUUUAAUCUCGUGACGGGAUUACUUAUUUGCGUCAAAAGGAAGGGGUUUUCGCGAAGGAGAGAUGUCGAGUUACACAUCCAAUUCGAGCUAAACAGCCGAGGGCAGUUGGCGAGAGGAGGGCUUUGCGUGUGUCUAGACGAAAACGUCUGUCUCUACGCACACCUAGCCGCUCGCCAGGAGCGUUGAACCCCGAAAUUAAUGUUGUAACGCAAUGUCGUAUCUCCGUCCCGUCUCAUCCCAUCCCCUGUGCCGUCUCGUUGCGCCUACAACCGCUCGAUAACGUGCCCUCUGACUACGUCUUGGGAAUACCUAAUUGCACUAAUGAUCCUGCGAGCCGCGUAGGGCGCGGGGGUGAACGAC